GACGAACGCUGGCGGCGUGCUUAACACAUGCAAGUCGAACGGAAAGGCCCUGCUUUUGUGGGGUGCUCGAGUGGCGAACGGGUGAGUAACACGUGAGUAACCUGCCCUUGACUUUGGGAUAACUUCAGGAAACUGGGGCUAAUACCGGAUAGGAGCUCCUGCUGCAUGGUGGGGGUUGGAAAGUUUCGGCGGUUGGGGAUGGACUCGCGGCUUAUCAGCUUGUUGGUGGGGUAGUGGCUUACCCAGGCUUCGACGGGUAGCCGGCCUGAGAGGGUGGCCGGCGACAUUGGGACUGAGAUACGGCGCAGACUCCUACGGGAGGCAGCAGUGGGGAAUAUUGCACAAUGGGCGGAAGUCUGAUGCAGCAACGCUGCGUGCGGGAUGACGGCCUUCGGGUUGUAAACCGCAUUCGCCUGUGACGAAGCGUGAGUGACGGUAAUGGGUAAAGAAGCACCGGCUAACUACGUG
rnacentral:rRNA from 1 species